rnacentral:rRNA from 1 species
AGUAACACGUGGGUUACCUGCCCUAGGAUCCGGAAUACCUGGGGGGAACUCCAGUUAAUACCGGAUAACGUCUUCGGACCAAAGCUCCGGCGUCCUAGGAGGGGCCCGCGUCCUACUAGCUUGUUGGUGAGGUAAUGGCUCACCAAGGCUGCGAUGGGUAACGGGUGUGAGAGCAUGACCCGUGUCACUGGGACUGAGACACUGCCCAGACACCUACGGGUGGCUGCAGUCGAGAAUCUUCGGCAAUGGGCGCAAGCCUGACCGAGCAACGCCGCGUGCGGGAUGAAGGCCCUCGGGUCGUAAACCGCUGUGGUGGGGGAGGAAAUUUUGACCUAUCCCACUAGAAAGCACGGGCUAAGUUCGUGCCAGCAGCCGCGGUAAGACGAACCGUGCAAACGUUAUUCGGAAUCACUGGGCUUAAAGGGUGCGUAGGCGGCCUUGAAGGUUGGAUGUGAAAUCCCACGGCUCAACCGUGGAACUGCGUUCAAAACCACAAGGCUCGAGAGAGACAGGGGUGAGCGGAACGUGCGGUGGAGCGGUGAUAUGCGUUGAUAUCGCACGGAACACCGGUGGCGAAAGCGGCUCACUGGGUCUCUACUGACGCUGAGGCACGAAAGCUAGGGUAGCGAACAGGAUUAGAUACCCUGGUAGUCCUAGCUGUAAACGAUGAGCACUGGGUCGAGGGGCUCUCGAACCUCUCGGCCGAAACGAAAGCAUUAAGUGCUCCGCCUGGGGAGUAUGGCCGCAAGGCUGAAACUCAAAGGAAUUGACGGGGGCUCACACAAGCGGUGGAGGAUGUGGCUUAAUUCGAGGCUACGCGAAGAACCUUAUCCUAGCCUUGACAGCCACGGAUACGCCUCCGGAAACGGAGGGCAGUUGCCUUCGGGUGAAACGUGGUACAGUGCUGCAUGGCUGU